rnacentral:misc_RNA from 1 species
AAGUCGUAACAAGGUUUCCGUAGGUGAACCUGCGGAAGGAUCAUUAUUGAAUGAACUUGGUAUGAUUGUUGCUGGCCCAUCUGGGCAUGUGCACGUCUGCCAUCUUUAUCUCUCCACCUGUGCACAUAUUGUAGGUCUGGAAUAAAUUUCUGAGGCAACUCAGUGGUGGGGAAUGCUGCUGCGAAGUGGCUUUGCCUGUAAUUUCAGAUCUAUGUUUUCAUAUACACCAUAAAAAUGUAACAGAAUGUAUUAAUGGGUCUUGUACCUAUAAACUAUAUACAACUUUCAGCAACGGAUCUCUUGGCUCUC